rnacentral:tRNA from 1 species
GUUUAGAUGGCAGAGCCAGGUAAUUGCAAAAGACCUAAGUCCUUUCCCUCAGAGGUUCAACUCCUCUUCUUAAC